GGUUGGGUAGCUCAGUGGUUAGAGCAAUUGGCAUAUGUUUUGAGGCAGUGGGGGGACCUGGGUUCAAAUCCCGGUCUUGCCA